rnacentral:rRNA from 1 species
AGUGAACGCUGGCGGCAGGCCUAACACAUGCAAGUCGAACGGCAGCACAGUAAGAGCUUGCUCUUACGGGUGGCGAGUGGCGGACGGGGGAGGAAUACAUCGGAAGCUACUGUUUCGAGGGGGAUAACGCAGGGGAACUUACGCCAAUACCGCAUACGACCUACGGGUGAGAGCAGGGGAUCGUCGGACCUUGCGUGAGUGUAUGAGCCGAUGUCGGGUUAGCUAGUUGGCGGGGUAAAGGCCCACCAAGGCGACGAUCCGUAGCUGGUCUGAGGGGAUGAUCAGCCCCCCUGGACCUGGGAACCGGCCCGGCCCCCUCCGGGAGGCAGCGGUGGGGAAUUUUGGCCAGUGGGGGCAAGCCUGACCAAGCCAUCCCGCGUGGGUGAAGAAGGCCUUCGGGUGGUAAGGCCCUUUUGUUGGGAAAGAAAAGAAGCAGGUUAAAACUCCGCUGUUUUACCGGUACCAAAAAAAUAAGCACCGCCUACCUUCUU